GGGAUGGGUGGAUGGGUGGAUGGGUGGGUGGCCAGACGGGUGGAUGGGUGGUGAGUGGGUAGGUGAAUGGAAGGGAGAGAGGCGUGGAUGAAACAGUGGUGACCAAUUUAGAACUGAAGAGAAACUGAAAGCACUGACUAACAUGCCAUUUUAAUUUGACGUGUAUAAUGCCAAAAAAUAUCCUAGCUGGAGGUCCUACAAAAUCGUGUUGCUCACAUGCCUCCAUUUUUAUGCACAAAAAUACUGAGAUCUUCAUAUAAUAGAGAAUUUCCAAUACAGAACCACCUACAAAGAGAGAAGUGUUUACAGAGAGGCCUCCACAGCCACAGAUAAUAUCAACUGAUACUCAGAGCAGGGAGAACGAGCUACAAGUUCUGUUUAUAUUCCUGGAUUCACGGUUUGCUGUUUAUUUUUAAAGUUUCCAUCUUGAUGAGUUCAUUAACCACCAUUAGCAAAUUUAGAAAUGCUUGAAUUUCAAGAAGAAUGUUUUUUCUCUCCAGCCAACCGUGACAUAGCAGGGCCUAAGGAGCAGCAGGAAGUGUUUCGUGUUGACAUUUCUACUGGAGUCAUAACCAGCAGCAGAGGGCUCCUCAUUCACACCCACAGCUCCACAAAGAGGAUAAACUCAGCCAGUGGAGCAGAGCAGUGGGUGCCUCCAGGAGGCGCCGCAGGAAUCAGCCUUCAGGUCUCUAGGCAGGGCUGCCAUAUGGAAGAAUCUGGACAGUCACGGUGAGUGAAUGGAACACUUGGGACCUUGCCUGGAGGCCUGCUUAACCCAACCUCUAUGAUCCGACCUUACCACCCCCACAUGGCCAUUGGUUUGUUUCACACACCCUCAGCUCUGGCCACACCAGACAGCUCCUUUUCCCCAAAACAUCCAAUGUAUCCCCAUAUUUCCACAUCCCUUUUUAAGAUUUUCCCUUUUGCCUGAACACUUCCUCACUGUCUCUUCCAUCAAAAUCCAGUCUCCACUGUAGAAGUGACUCACUCCCUCCU
rnacentral:lncRNA from 1 species